CCGGAGACGUAGUCGGCGGCGGCGGCGAAGUCUGCGCUGCCCGCACCAGAGAUACGUGAUCGCGGCCGCGCGCGGCAAACCGUCGUCAUAAUAAUAAUAAUAAUAAUACCGCGCGCGCGGUCUUAGAAAACAAAUAAUAAUAAUAAAGUCGGAAGAACAUAUUAUUAUACGGGAGGAAUACGGGGUCGGGUAAAAAAAAGAGAGUUGCGAUUGACGGGGAGGGGGCGAGACGUGUUCCGACCGCGGCGGGGCGCAAACAACCGCGAUAAUGCCGAGAGACAGUGCGAGAGAGAGAGAGGACGGCGAGCGCAGAAAAAUAUAGUAGCCUAUGGUCGCGUCGUCGUCAUCGUCGUCGGCGGAUGAAAAAAAAAUAUAUAUAAUAAUAAUAAUAAUAAUAAUAUAUAUAUAUGAAAAAAAAAAUACGCGUAAAUAGAACAGGUUUCGCGUACAAAAUUCCCGUAUACAGGCAUCGGAUUUUUCUACGGACAGUACACCCAGACUCUUGGAAGUCCGUUGCCCAUCAUCGUCGUCGUCGGACAGACAUCACGAGACGACGUCUAUGUCUGAGAACAAAUAACAUAAUAACGACCGAGCGCGGUGCGACGUUCAAAGUUUAUAUUAUACGUGUACAAGCUCCCUGCCCGCCGGUGUGUCCCAU